rnacentral:snRNA from 1 species
GGAUGUGGGGGCGAUCUGGCUGCAACGUGUCACCCCAUUGAUCACCCGGGUUGAUUUGGCUUAUGUGGUUGGCUAGGUGGGUGUCCCCUUCCUCCCUCACUGCUCUGUGUACAUCCCUCCCAAAGCUGUGCACUCAGUUAAAGAGGACGACCUUCUCCAAUAGAGGAGGAUGGUUCUUGGUCAAGGGUAUAUGAGUAGCAGUGUUCCCCUGCUAGAAACUCCAAAUGAGCUCUCAAGGUCCAUUUGUAAGAGAAGCUUCCAAGAUUCCAGAGACAUCCAAAAGAGGUGCUGCAUGUGGCAUUCUGCCUUGA